ACCAGCAGGAAAUGUAGGAGGGCCCAACAUAUGUUGCUGGCAUGGAUACGUAGACGGUAAACUAACUUGGGGAAACUAGGCUGUUUGUGUUCUCUCAGUCUG